rnacentral:rRNA from 1 species
AUUGAACGCUGGCGGCAUGCCUUACACAUGCAAGUCGAACGGCAGCACGGGGCAACCUGGUGGCGAGUGGCGAACGGGUGAGUAAUGCAUCGGAACGUACCUUUCAGUGGGGGAUAACGUAGCGAAAGUUACGCUAAUACCGCAUAUUCUGUGAGCAGGAAAGCAGGGGAUCGCAAGACCUUGCGCUGAUUGAGCGGCCGAUGUCAGAUUAGCUAGUUGGGGAGGUAAAGGCUCACCAAGGCGACGAUCUGUAGCGGGUCUGAGAGGAUGAUCGGACACACUGGAACUGAGAAACGGUCCAGACUCCUACGGGAGGCAGCAGUGGGGAAUUUUGGACAAUGGGGGCAACCCUGAUCCAGCCAUGCCGCGUGAGUGAAGAAGGCCUUCGGGUUGUAAAGCUCUUUCGGCCGGGAAGAAAUCGCACGGGCUAAUACCCUGUGUGGAUGACGGUACCGGAAUAAGAAGCACCGGCUAACUACGUGCCAGCCGCCGCGGUAACAC